GAAAGGUCAGUUGAGUUUUAAGAAGUG
rnacentral:sRNA from 1 species